GACGAACGCUGGCGGCGUGCCUAAUACAUGCAAGUCGAGCGAAUGGAAGGGAGCUUGCUCCCUGAAGUUAGCGGCGGACGGGUGAGUAACACGUGGGCAACCUGCCUGUAAGACUGGGAUAACUUCGGGAAACCGGAGCUAAUACCGGAUACGUUCUUUCCUCGCAUGAGGAAAGAUGGAAAGAUGGUUUCGGCUAUCACUUACAGAUGGGCCCGCGGCGCGUUAGCUAGUUGGGGGGGUAAUGGCCCACCAAGGCGACGAUGCGUAGCCGACCUGCGAGGGUGAUCGGCCACACUGGGACUGAGACACGGCCCAGACUCCUACGGGAGGCAGCAGUAGGGAAUCUUCCGCAAUGGACGAAAGUCUGACGGAGCAACGCCGCGUGAGCGAAGAAGGCCUUCGGGUCGUAAAGCUCUGUUGUCAGGGAAGAACAAGUGCCAGAGUAACUGCUGGCACCUUGACGGUACCUGACCAGAAAGCCACGGCUAACUACGUGCCAGCCGCCGCCGUAAGAC
rnacentral:rRNA from 1 species